AGUUUGCUCAUAGGAAAUGUUUUCAGAAAUGCUGCAAUAAGAAAGGGGAUAUAACCUGUGAGAUUUGCAAUCAGAUUUAUUCACCGGAUUACGCUCUUCCACCAGCUAGAACCAAUCCAGAUCUCAUGACUAUUGAUAUCAGGCAUGCAUGGGGCCCGCAAAUCGAUUCCA